AGAGCGAACGCUGGCGGCAGGCCUAAUACAUGCAAGUCGAACGCACCUUCGGGUGAGUGGCGGACGGGUGAGUAACACGUGGGAACGUGCCCUUUGGUUCGGAAUAAUCCGGGGAAACCUGGCCUAAUACCGGAUGUGCCCUUCGGGGGAAAGAUUUAUCGCCAUUGGAGCGGCCCGCGUCUGAUUAGCUUGUUGGUGGGGUAAUGGCCCACCAAGGCUACGAUCAGUAGCUGGUCUGAGAGGAUGAUCAGCCACACUGGGACUGAGACACGGCCCAGACUCCUACGGGAGGCAGCAGUAGGGAAUCUUGCGCAAUGGGCGAAAGCCUGACGCAGCCAUGCCGCGUGAAUGAUGAAGGUCUUAGGAUUGUAAAAUUCUUUCAGCGGGGAAGAUAAUGACUGUACCCGCAGAGAAGCUCCGGCUAACUUCGUGCCAGCAGCCGC
rnacentral:rRNA from 1 species